rnacentral:snRNA from 1 species
GUGCUCACUUCGGCAGCCCAUAUACUAAAAUUGGGACAAUACAGAGAAGAUUGGCAUGGCCCCCAUGCAAGGAUGACACACAAAUUCAUGAAGCAUUCCAUAUCAAG